rnacentral:rRNA from 1 species
GAUGAACGCUGGCGGCGUGCCUAAUACAUGCAAGUCGAGCGAACAGACGAGGAGCUUGCUCCUCUGACGUUAGCGGCGGACGGGUGAGUAACACGUGGAUAACCUACCUAUAAGACUGGGAUAACUUCGGGAAACCGGAGCUAAUACCGGAUAAUAUAUUGAACCGCAUGGUUCAAUAGUGAAAGACGGUUUUGCUGUCACUUAUAGAUGGAUCCGCGCCGCAUUAGCUAGUUGGUAAGGUAACGGCUUACCAAGGCAACGAUGCGUAGCCGACCUGAGAGGGGGAUCGGCCACACUGGAACUGAGACACGGUCCAGACUCCUACGGGAGGCAGCAGUAGGGAAUCUUCCGCAAUGGGCGAAAGCCUGACGGAGCAACGCCGCGUGAGUGAUGAAGGUCUUCGGAUCGUAAAACUCUGUUAUUAGGGAAGAACAAAUGUGUAAGUAACGAUGCACGUCUUGACGGUACCUAAUCAGAAAGCCACGGCUAACUACGU